rnacentral:rRNA from 1 species
AACGCUGGCGGCAGGCCUAACACAUGCAAGUCGAGCGGUAACAGGGGUAGCUUGCUACCCGCUGACGAGCGGCGGACGGGUGAGUAAUGCAUAGGAAUCUGCCCGAUAGUGGGGGAUAACCUGGGGAAACCCAGGCUAAUACCGCAUACGUCCUACGGGAGAAAGGGGGCUUCGGCUCCCGCUAUUGGAUGAGCCUAUGUCGGAUUAGCUAGUUGGUGAGGUAAAGGCUCACCAAGGCAACGAUCCGUAGCUGGUCUGAGAGGAUGAUCAGCCACAUCGGGACUGAGACACGGCCCGAACUCCUACGGGAGGCAGCAGUGGGGAAUAUUGGACAAUGGGGGCAACCCUGAUCCAGCCAUGCCGCGUGUGUGAAGAAGGCCCUCGGGUUGUAAAGCACUUUCAGCGAGGAAGAACGCCUAUCGGUUAAUACCCGGUAGGAAAGACAUCACUCGCAGAAGAAGCACCGGCUAACUCCGUGCCAGCAGCCGCGGUAAUACGGAGGGUGCAAGCGUUAAUCGGAAUUACUGGGCGUAAAGCGCGCGUAGGUGGCUUGAUAAGCCGGUUGUGAAAGCCCCGGGCUCAACCUGGGAACGGCAUCCGGAACUGUCAGGCUAGAGUGCAGGAGAGGAAGGUAGAAUUCCCGGUGUAGCGGUGAAAUGCGUAGAGAUCGGGAGGAAUACCAGUGGCGAAGGCGGCCUUCUGGACUGACACUGACACUGAGGUGCGAAAGCGUGGGUAGCAAACAGGAUUAGAUACCCUGGUAGUCCACGCCGUAAACGAUGUCGACCAGCCGUUGGGUGCCUAGAGCACUUUGUGGCGAAGUUAACGCGAUAAGUCGACC